GCAAGGGCAGACGGUGGAUGCCUUGGCUCUCGGAGGCGAUGAAGGACGUGAUAAGCUGCGAUAAGCUUGGGGUAGGUGCAAAUAACCUUUGAUCCCAAGAUUUCCGAAUGGGGCAACCCGGCUGGUAGAAGGCCAGUCAUUCCGUAAGGAAGGCGAACGUGGGGAACUGAAACAUCUAAGUACCCAUAGGAGAAGAAAACAAAAGUGAUUCCGCAAGUAGUGGCGAGCGAACGCGGAACAGCCCAAACCGAUGAUGUUUAGGCAUUGUCGGGGUAGUAGGACCACGUUGUGGCAAGAGAUUAAGGAAGUAGAACGUUUUGGAACAAACGGCCGUAGACGGUGAAAGCCCAGUAUACGACUCUUUAACGAAGCCUAGUGGAAUCCUGAGUAGCGCGGAGCACGAGAAAUUCUGUGUGAAUCAGCGGGGCCCAUCCCGUAAGGCUAAAUACUCCCGAGAGACCGAUAGCGAACCAGUACUGUGAAGGAAAGGUGAAAAGAACCUCGAACAGAGGAGUGAAACAGACCCUGAAACCAUGCGCCUACAAGCGGUCGGAGCAUGUUAAAAUGUGACGGCGUGCCUUUUGCAUAAUGAACCUACGAGUUACUCUCGCUGGCAAGGUUAAGCGAUUCAGUCGCGCAGCCGAAGCGAAAGCAAGUCCGAACAAGGCGUACAGUCAGCGGGAGUAGACGCGAAACCAAGUGAUCUACCCUUGGUCAGGUUGAAGGUUGGGUAACACCAACUGGAGGACCGAACCCACUCCCGUUGAAAAGGUAGGGGAUGAAUUGUGGCUAGGGGUGAAAGGCCAAUCAAACUCGGAAAUAGCUGGUUCUCCGCGAAAACUAUUUAGGUAGUGCGGUGAGCGGACACCUUGAGGGGUAGAGCACUGGAAGAGCUAAGGGGGAGCGAUCCUUACUAAACUUUACCAAACUCCGAAUACUCAAGAGUGAUACUCACCAGACAGACAUUAGGUGCUAAGGUCUAGUGUCGAGAGGGAAAGAGCCCAGACCGCCAAUUAAGGUCCCAAAAUUAUGGCUAAGUGGUAAAGGAAGUGAAACGUCCAAAACAGUCAGGAGGUUGGCUUAGAAGCAGCCAUCCUUUAAAGAAAGCGUAAUAGCUCACUGAUCUAAAUAAGACGUCUUGCGCCGAAGAUGUAACGGGGCUAAAGCCAUAUACCGAAGUUGCGGAUUUACACGUUAAAGUGUAAGUGGUAGCGGAGCGUUCUGUAAGCCUGCGAAGGUGUACCGUAAGGUAUGCUGGAGGUAUCAGAAGUGAGAAUGCUGACAUGAGUAGCGAAAAGAAGAGUGAGAGACUCUUCCGCUGAAAGUCCAAGGUUUCCUGCGUAAAGCUAAUCUGCGCAGGGUUAGUCGGUCCCUAAGGCGAGGCAGAGAUGCGUAGUCGAUGGCAAUCAGGUUAAUAUUCCUGAACCGGCCCGGAAGUGACGGAUUGAGUAAAUUGUAAGUUCUUAUUGGAUUGAGCUUGCAGUGAAUCAGUCCCAGGAAAUAGCCCGGGCUAAGACCGUACCCGAAACCGACACAGGUGGACAGGUAGAGAAUACCAAAGCGCUUGAGAGAACUAUGUUGAAGGAACUAGGCAAAAUACUUGCGUAACUUCGGGAUAAGCAAGCCCCAUUUUAAGGCAACUUAGGGUGGGGGGCACAUACUAGGGGGUAGCGACUGUUUACUAAAAACACAGGGCUCUGCUAAAUUGAAAGAUGAAGUAUAGGGUCUGACGCCUGCCCGGUGCUGGAAGGUUACGCGGAUGAGUUAGCGCAAGCGAAGCCCUGCUGUCUCCAACAUAGGCUCAGCGAAAUUGAACUCUGAGUUAAGAUGCUCAGUACCCGCGGUUAGACGGAAAGACCCCGUGAACCUUUACUAUAGCUUUGCAGUGGUAUUAGGUAACAAAUGUGUAGAAUAGGUGGGAUGCUAUGAAGCUACGACGCCAGUUGUAGUGGAGCAGACUUUGAAAUACCACCCUUUUGUUGUUUGAUAUCUAACCUGCUCCCGUUAUCCGGGAGAGGGACCCUGCAUGGUGGGUAGUUUGACUGGGGCGGUCGCCUCCCAAAGAGUAACGGAGGCGCGCAAAGGUUGGCUCAGAUUGGUCAGAAAUCAAUCGUUGAGUGCAAUGGCAUAAGCCAGCCUGACUGCGAGAGCGACGGUUCGAGCAGAUACGAAAGUAGGUCAUAGUGAUCCGGUGGUCCCGAGUGGAAGGGCCAUCGCUCAACGGAUAAAAGGUACUCCGGGGAUAACAGGCUGAUUCCGCCCAAGAGUUCACAUCGACGGCGGAGUUUGGCACCUCGAUGUCGGCUCAUCACAUCCUGGGGCUGGAGAAGGUCCCAAGGGUUCGGCUGUUCGCCGAUUAAAGUGGCACGCGAGCUGGGUUCAGAACGUCGUGAGACAGUUCGGUCUCUAU
rnacentral:rRNA from 1 species